UGACGUAGUUUGACUCUGGCUCAGGACGACGCUGGCGGCGUGCUUAAUACAUGCAAGUCGAACGGAGUUAAGGGUUUCGGCCUUUAACUUAGUGGCGAACGGGUGAGUAACGCGUGAAUAACCUGACUCAAAGAGGGGGAUAACAACGGGAAACUGUUGCUAAUACCGCAUGAGACCACAACACCGCAUGAUGAAGGGGUCAAAGAUUUAUCGCUUUGAGAGGGGUUCGCGUCCCAUUAGGUAGUUGGAGGGGUAACGGCCCACCAAGCCAACGAUGGGUAGCCGAGCUGAGAGGCUGAUCGGCCACACUGGAACUGAGACACGGUCCAGACUCCUACGGGAGGCAGCAGUAGGGAAUAUUGGGCAAUGGGCGCAAGCCUGACCCAGCAACGCCGCGUGAGGGAAGAAGGUUUUCGGAUUGUAAACCUCUGUCCUAUGUGACGAAGGAAGUGACGGUAGCAUAGGAGGAAGCCCCGGCUAACUACGUG
rnacentral:rRNA from 1 species